rnacentral:misc_RNA from 1 species
GGUGAAUAUAAUGAUCUUCUUGUGUGUAAAUUUGAAUUCCACAGAAACAAUUACAAUUAAGUUUAUGCUAUGGAGCAAUAAAUGAAUUAACAUACUGUAACUGCGGGAAUGAGUUGAGGGUUUUAAUUAUCUUUAAGCUGUUGCUUGAGUCACUCAUUUUCCUUUGUAACGGCGUUGAGAUCAGCUUGCAGUUUGUCUACAUUUAAGCUUCGAAAUGCCAUGGCUGUUAGCUUCUUUUCAUGUUCUGCCAUUUCUCUUCGUAUUCUGUCAGCCAUUAGGAUUUUCUCAGAAAUUUGUUCGAAGCACUCAUGUAUGCUAGUGAGA